rnacentral:rRNA from 1 species
GUGGGGAAUUUUGGACAAUGGGCGCAAACCUGAUCCAGCAAUGCCGCGUGCAGGAAGAAGGCCUUCGGGUUGUAAACUGCUUUUGUACGGAACGAAACGGUCCUGGUUAAUACCCGGGGCUAAUGACGGUACCGUAAGAAUAAGCACCGGCUAACUACGUGCCAGCAGCCGCGGUAAUACGUAGGGUGCAAGCGUUAAUCGGAAUUACUGGGCGUAAAGCGUGCGCAGGCGGUGCUGUAAGACAGGCGUGAAAUCCCCGGGCUUAACCUGGGAAUUGCGCUUGUGACUGCAGUGCUGGAGUGCGGCAGAGUGGGAUGGAAUUCCGCGUGUAGCAGUGAAAUGCGUAGAUAUGCGGAGGAACACCGAUGGCGAAGGCAAUCCCCUGGGCCUGCACUGACGCUCAUGCACGAAAGCGUGGGGAGCAAACAGGAUUAGAUACCCGGGUAGUCC